UACGUACCGUCCAAACGUUAUUCGGAAUUACUGGGCUUAAAGGGUUUGUAGGCGGCGCUGUUAGUCGGGUGUGAAAUCCCAGGGCUCAACCCUGGAACUGCGCCCGAUACUGCAGUGCUUGAGGGAGACAGAGGUAAGCGGAACUGAUGGUGGAGCGGUGAAAUGCGUUGAUAUCAUCAGGAACACCGGUGGCGAAAGCGGCUUACUGGGUCUCUUCUGACGCUGAGAAACGAAAGCUAGGGGAGCGAAGGGGAUUAGAUACCCCCGUAGUCCUAGCCGUAAACGUUGAGCACUUGAUCGAGGGCCCCCCCAUAGGCUCUCGGUCGUAGCGAAAGUGUUAAGUGCUCCGCCUGGGGAGUAUGGUCGCAAGGCUGAA
rnacentral:rRNA from 1 species